AUUAUUCAUAACGACUCUCGGCAACGGAUAUCUCGGCUUUCGCAUCGAUGAAGAACGUAGCGAACUGCGAUACUUGGUGUGAAUUGCAGAAUNCCGUGAACCAUCGAGUCUUUGAACGCAAGUUGCGCCCGAAGCCAUUUGGUCGAGGGCACGUUUGCCUGGGUGUC
rnacentral:rRNA from 1 species